ACGCUGGCGGCACGCCUAACACAUGCAAGUCGAACGAAGUAGCAAUACUUAGUGGCAGACGGGUGAGUAACAUGUAGGUAUCUACCCUUUGGCCUGGAAUAACACGAGGAAACUUGUGCUAAUACCGGAUAAGUCUUUACGGAGAAAGCUUUAUGCACCAUUGGAUGAGCCUGCACUUGAUUAGUUUGUUGGUGGGGUAAUGGCCUACCAAGACUGUGAUCAAUAGCUGAUUUGAGAGGAUGAUCAGCCACAUUGGGACUGAGACACGGCCCAAACUCCUACGGGAGGCAGCAGUGGGGAAUCUUGCACAAUGGAGGAAACUCUGAUGCAGCGAUGCCGCGUGAGUGAAGAAGGCCUUUGGGUUGUAAAGCUCUUUCGUCGGGGAAGAAAAUGACUGUACCCGAAUAAGAAGGUCCGGCUAACUUCGUGCCAGCAGCCGCGGUAAUACGAAGGGACCUAGCGUAGUUCGGAAUUACUGGGCUUAAAGAGUUCGUAGGUGGUUGAAAAAGUUGGUGGUGAAAUCCCAGAGCUUAACUCUGGAACUGCCAUCAAAACUUUUCAGCUAGAGUAUGAUAGAGGAAAGCAGAAUUUCUAGUGUAGAGGUGAAAUUCGUAGAUAUUAGAAAGAAUACCAAUUGCGAAGGCAGCUUUCUGGAUCAUUACUGACACUGAGGAACGAAAGCAUGGGUAGCGAAGAGGAUUAGAUACCCUCGUAGUCCAUGCCGUAAACGAUGUGUGUUAGACGUUGGAAAUUUAUUUUCAGUGUCGCAGCGAAAGCGAUAAACACACCGCCUGGGGAGUACGAC
rnacentral:rRNA from 1 species